rnacentral:rRNA from 1 species
GACGAACGCUGGCGGCGUGCUUAACACAUGCAAGUCGAACGGAAAGGCCCUGCUUUUGUGGGGUGCUCGAGUGGCGAACGGGUGAGUAACACGUGAGUAACCUGCCCUUGACUUUGGGAUAACUUCAGGAAACUGGGGCUAAUACCGGAUAGGAGCUGCUGCUGCAUGGUGGGGGUGGGAAAGUUUCGGCGGUUGGGGAUGGACGCGCGGCUUAUCAGCUUGUUGGUGGGGUAGUGGCUUACCAAGGCUUUGACGGGUAGCCGGCCUGAGAGGGUGAACGGCCACAUUGGGACUGAGAUACGGCCCAGACUCCUACGGGAGGCAGCAGUGGGGAAUAUUGCACAAUGGGCGGAAGCCUGAUGCAGCAACGCCGCGUGCGGGAUGACGGCCUUCGGGUUGUAAACCGCUUUCGCCUGUGACGAAGCGUGAGUGACGGUAAUGGGUAAAGAAGCACCGGCUAACUACGUG